rnacentral:rRNA from 1 species
CCUACGGGUGGCAGCAGUGGGGAAUAUUGGACAAUGGGGGGAACCCUGAUCCAGCCAUGCCGCGUGUGUGAAGAAGGCCCUCGGGUUGUAAAGCACUUUCAGUGAGGAAGAACGCCUGGUGGUUAAUACCCAUCAGGAAAGACAUCACCCACAGAAGAAGCACCGGCUAACUCCGUGCCAGCAGCCGCGGUAAUACGGAGGGUGCGAGCGUUAAUCGGAAUUACUGGGCGUAAAGCGCGCGUAGGUGGCUUGAUAAGCCGGUUGUGAAAGCCCCGGGCUCAACCUGGGAACGGCAUCCGGAACUGUCAAGCUAGAGUGCAGGAGAGGAAGGUAGAAUUCCCGGUGUAGCGGUGAAAUGCGUAGAGAUCGGGAGGAAUACCAGUGGCGAAGGCGGCCUUCUGGACUGACACUGACACUGAGGUGCGAAAGCGUGGGUAGCAAACAGGAUUAGAUACCCCAGUAGUC